GCCAGUCUGUGAUCGAUCUCUUUAUCAAUCUUGGCGUCUGAGGAGAUGAUGCUUCCCAGGGUGAUGAUGACUGCAUCUCGGAGAUUUGAUGGCAGUUCGCCUUUUUCCCAGCAACUCACAAGGAGCUCAUGGAGCUUAGCAUGGAGUACAAAUCUCAUUCUAAAGCUGGUGACCCCUCUGCAACAGCUGCCUAUGUACUCUAGGAGACUAACGAUCACAAGAAGAAGGGGAGAAAAUCUGCCAUGAGAUCUCCUAACUACUGGCACUUGGACUAAGAAGACAGGAAAUAAAAGAAAUGAAUGGGGAAAUGAUGCACAAAGCAUACAGAUGUUCCUUCACAGAACAGAAGCAACAACAAGGGAGAGGGACAGCAUCAAAUCAGCCAAAGAGAAGGGAGAACAGGAAGUCUCAGAAUAAAUAAGAUGGGUUUCAUAAUUGUUUACAGACAGCGGAAAUGUUUCAGAGUCAUGCUUCUUCUCCAUAAGUUGAAAUUUUGAGAAAUUAAACAAUAAACAUGUGGAUCCUUCAAGUUAUCUGAAAAUGAAGCUGCUCCAGACAGCAGAUGUUUAAUUUCCUUAGAGUUUUAGCUUGUGUAAAGAAGUAUGAAAGCCUUCCAAUUCUGCUCUGGGUUUCCUGUCUUUUUGUUUGCUUUGUCACACCUCAGAACAGUUUUCUUAGACUGGUACAAACCAUUCCUCCCCCACUGUGAAUGACACUACAGCUUUCAGCAUUCCUGUGCACUAGCCACACUGGUUCUAGAUCAUAAAAACAGAAAGCAUUUGUUUAGGAGAGGCUGUUUCAAAAUAUAGGGUAGAAAUUUUGUAGGUAGCAUACACAGACAUACCUUGCUGGUAUGCCAGGACAUACAUGUUCUUGAUCCUCAUGGAAAGAGUUAGCCAAUAAUAUCUCAAAGGCAAAAUCUCAUGGCAAAUAAGUGACUGGAAGGUUGAGUACCUGGGCACCAUCUGAGUGUAAAGUCAUUCCCAGUCAGGAAAAAAAAUGAAAGAGGUGAUGGAGAGCAAUGGUAUUUUUUCUUGCUUCAAAACUGCAGCAGGAUGGUGCCUAAAGAAUCCUGAAUUCCAGCACCUAAUUGGCCAUAGAUGUGUGAGCCAGACCUGCAAAGUUGUAGUACACUCCAGCAGCAAAAGACUAUCUGAAAAUACUCCAAAAACAUUUUUCUCAAAUAUCAGGAAAUGCUGAUGAGGAGAAUUCUAGACAGACAAUAAUCUUCACAGUUUGGAACUUUAUGUGUGUAUGUGAAGAGUUUUGUUCAGAAAAUGCAUGUGGGUUCGUUCUGCAGAAGAUGCUGUUUUAUGUGCAGAAAACUUGUUUUUUGUUUGAAAAAUAAUUUUCUGUGCCAAAAAUGCUGUUUUCUGUGCAGGAAACCUUUUUCUUUACAAAAAGUGAAAUUUUCUGGGCAACAAAAAGCCUAAAUGCAUUUUGUUUUUGUUUUUGUUAAUUUGAAAUGAAGUAUAUCCAAAACUAUUAAUUCAGUAAAAACUUCAAAGUUUUCAAAGACUUUUUUACAAUGAGAAGAAAAUGCACACUCUGUUUUGCGUGGGGAAAAUCUCAAAUUCUCUAAUUAUAUUGUUGUACUCCUGUUUUUGUGAACUUGAAUGUGCAUACAAUGGUAAAGUAUGAGUGCUCUGAUAAUACUGUAAACAGUGAUGUCUAUUUACAGCAUGCAUGGCAUGGAUUUGCCAUGAUAUUUUGCCAUUCAUGAAAAUACCUUCUGUUUACAUACAUAUGCUAUUUAUAAGCAACAGAAGCUGUUCUUAGAAACCACAUAACCACAUACUAAUACAGCAUAUAAAACUUUGAUUUAAAAAAAUGAUCUUACAAAACAUGUGCAAUAGUCAAGGCACAUCCUUUUCCAAUUUUCCAAUUAGUCCUGUUAUUGCUUAAAUAUUGUAAAAACUGUAUUUGAUAAAAAGAAAGAGAUGGAGGGACAAUGAUAGUAGAAAACUGUUUCAUGCAGAUUUGAUCUUUAGGUUAUUUUUUUCUUUUGAAAAGUCUUUUAGUGAUAUUACUGAAAGCCGAAGUUAUUCCUUUAGAUCAUUGGGGGGGGGGGAGCAAAGGGUAGGAAUAAGAUGACAGUUUUCACAAUGGAGGGAUUUAAGAAAUGAAUCCUCCCUAGGGUUGCCAUAAUUGGCUGCCACCAAAUCGGCACAGUAAAUAAAUAAAUAAACAAAUAUAAAUAAAAAUGCGGGGAGGCCCAGGCCAAAGCGCCAAGCGUUGUGCUGCCUCCUGGGCCUCUGACAGCCCUGGGGCUGGUGGAGGCCGUGCAAUGCUCGAUGCUUCGGCAUGGGUCUCCUCCACUUGUGGGGAAGCCCAGGCCAAAGUGCCGAGUGCGCUGCUGCUUCCGAGGCCUCCCCGGGGCUGGUGGGAAGGCCCAGGCCGAAGCCCUGAGCAUGCCGCUGCUUCCCCAGGUCUGUCAGAGGCCGCACAGUGCUCGGGGCUUUGGCCUGGGCCUCCUCCAGCCGCGGGGAGGCCCAGGCUGAAGCGCCAAGCCCAGCUCAGUGGCAAGACCUUCUGAGAGGCGGAGGACGCUCCUCUGCUUCUGGAGAAAGCCUUGCCUGUCCUGGGAACUGAGGGAGAGCGAGACGGGAUUGUGCCUGCCUCCCAGAAUGUGGGAUAGUCUCGCCACUUCCUGGGAUUUGGCAAGGCUAAUCCUCCCCCCAAGAUCUGUAUUAAGAUUGAUAGUUUUGAUUUUUUUUUUUUUUUACACAAAUGAUAUGGAAUUAGAAUGAGGAAUUAGGUGUUCAGUUUUGCAAGACACUCCAAAUUAUUCAGAAUAGUACAAAUAAAAAAAGAUUAGAAAAUUUGUCAAAAGGAUGUUUCCAAAAUGGGCAAGUGGGCAAUAAUAUGGAACAGGCAGUUCAAUGUACAGUGCGCCCACGUCAUAUGCGGCUUUCAGCAUAUGCUGAAAGCCAUGCAGGGAGGAAGGGGCAGUUCAUCCAAUAGGGAUGAAUGGGGCAUGUGCCCAUGGCAUGCACCACCACGCCACCACACCACCACAUGCACGAGCCCCAUUCAUUUAAAUGGGGCUCGAGCAUAGGCAGUAUUUGUUUUAGGUGGGGGAGUUCAGAACAGAUCCCUGCGUAAACAAAGGGUACACUGUAUUCACAGUGGGCAUCGGGUAUACAUUGUUUGGUUGUGCUAGCAUUUGAUGAUGAGAAGAGGAUUCUGGCAUUGAUGGUAGAAAGCAGCCUAACAAUGUAGGGUUCUAAUAUCAAUGAUGCAUCUUUGCUACAUUUGAUCAAAUAAAAGAAUGAUCUAAGGUUCUGAAAUAGGGUCACCACUUUCCAGUUUGGACCUAAUAUGGAGCAGUUUUAUAACCCCAUUGAUAUCAGAACCACCGGUUUCCACCACAGCCCACUAUUUCUUUGUCUCUGGCACCACUUAUGGUUAUUUUGCUAUGGGGCUGGAUCAUGUUUGGGAGAAAAAUUACUUACGUGUCCAUCACCUUUGGUUCAGGAAUCCCCUUCAGGAUGCUUUGGUUGAGGUAUCCAUGGACAUGUUCAGCUCAGGGCCUGUGGAACCUGCCUUAUGCCUAGAUAACAGUGGGAUCGUGCAUUGUCUUUCACCAAUAUGAAAUCCCAUAUACCUAAUUCCAUGACCACCACAGAAACAUGACUGGCAGUGACUAGAUUCAUUGUUGACAGACAGGUUGGCCAGUGUCUGGACUCUUACACCAUGUUAGACCAAGCAUCUCCAAAAGUAGCCAAAAGCUAUGGCCUUUUAUAUUUGAAGAAUGCUUGUUUUAGAAUUAUAGAAUCAUAUAAUCAUAUAGUUGAAAGAGGUGACAAAAGCCAUUCAGUCCAACACCCUGCCUUGCAGGAACAUGCAAUCAAAGUGCUCCCAACUGAUGGCCAUCUAGCCUCUGUUUAAAAACUUCCAAAGAAGAAAACUCCUUCACUCGCUAAGGCUGUGUGUUCCAUUGUCAAAUAGCUCUUACUUUCAUUAUGUUCUUCCUAAAGUUUUGGUGCAAUCUCUUUCCUUUCAGUUUGAACCAUUGGUCUGUGUCCUAGUCUCUGAAGCAGCAGAAAAUAAGCUUGUUCCAUCUUCAAUAUGACAUGUCUUCAAAUAUUUAAACAUGCCUAUCAUGUCAAUGUUCUAUUCCUCAGACUAAACAUACCCAGCUCCCUAAGCCACUCCUCAUAGGACAUGGUUCCCAGACCUUUCACCAUUUUAGUCACCCUCCUCUAGACAUGCUUUUGUCCACAUAAUUCUUAAAUUGUAGUGCCCAGAAUAGGAAAAAAUAUUCCAGGUGAAAUCUGACCAAAGCAGAACAUAAUGGUACAUUAUGAACAUAUGAUUGCCUUCAAUCUAGACACCAUACUCAUAUUGAUCCAGCCUAGAAUUAAGCUGCCACAUCACAUUGCUGAUUAAUUUAGCCUGUAGUCCACUAAGGACUGGAACAGACCAGCAGCUUCAGCUGGCUACAAGCUGGCUUGGGGGUGUGAUAUUUACAUGUGCCAUGCCCCCAAGCCGCACGGAGGUCAUGCUGGUGAUUACACACUGGGUGGCUUUGGGGUGACUUGGGGGUGUAGCAUUUAGACACCACAUCCUCCCAAACUGGCUGGAAGCUGGCUGAAGCUGCGAUGGGGCAGCUUCAAUCUGCUCCAAAUAGGAACAGCUCUUUGUCACUCUUAUUUGGGCUGAAGUUUGGCCAGAUUGGGGCUGUGGUUUGAAGCUGACCCUUCUGGGUGGUCUGUUUCACCCCUGAGACUCCUAGAUCUGUUUCUUACAUACUGCCAUCAAGCCAGAUGUCACUCAUCCUAUAUCUCUGCAUUUUUUUUACUGCCCAAGCCUUGGUACAGACUGCCAGAACACAAUGUCCUGGCGGCAAUAGUAGGGCUCGGUAGUGCACACCAAACAGACGCUGCCAAGCCCUACAACGUGUGGGCAGUGCCAUUACAGUGCCGCCCCACCCACAUGGUGGACGUGUGCAUGAUGUCUGGGUAUCUCAGUGCCCACACAUCAUGCACAGGAAGAGGUGUUGUAAGGGCUGCAACACAGCCCUUAUGACGUUGCAAAAAGAAGCCGCUCUAGGCAGCUCCUUUUUUGGUCCUCAGCAUUGCUGUUGGGUCGCUACGGCAAUAUUGUGGACCAAUAACAGGGGCCUACAAACCACCCUGAAAGGGGUGGUCUGUACUGCCCCCAAGUUUAAUAUCCCACAUGCUUCCCUGCUAAAAUUCAUUAUGUUAGUUUUGGCCCAGCUUUCUAAUCCAUUAAGGUCAUUUUGAAUUCUGAUCCUAGCCUCCAGGGUAUUAGCUAGCCCUCCUAAUUUAGUGUCAUUUGCAAAUUUGAUAAGCAUGCCCAUUAUUCCAUCAUUCAAGUUAUUAAGAUGUUAAAUAGUACUGGGCUCAGGACAGAACCCUGUGGCACCCCACUGGUCACGUCUCUCCAGGAUGAGGAGGAACCAUUUUUCAGUACCCUUUAGGCUUUGUCAGACAAACAAUUAUAAAUCCACAUAAUGGUCCCAUUGUCUAGUGCAUGGUCUCAUUUACAGUGUUGAAAACCAUGCCCUCUAUUCCAUGAUCCAAGUCAUUGAUAAAGAAGAUUUUCACACUUACCUGCAUCGCUACUGAAAUGUCCUCCAAACAGAGCUAAAAUGGCAAAGAAGCCCCUGUGUCUGAAAGCCUGGAAUGCUCCUGAAUCACCAUGGAAAUGUGCCUCCCUCCUUUGCGUACCUGAAUCGUUGCAAGGGAAGCAGAUUUUCUCUUAACGCAAACUUAGCAUUCAGAAGAAUUCCUCUCCUCAGGAACGAUUCAGGUACGCAAAGGAGGGAGGCAUGUUUCCAUGGCGAUUCAGGAGCGUCCCAGGGUUCUUUUCCAUUUUAGCUUUGUUUGGAGGAUGUUUUAGCAGUGAUGCAGGCAAGUGUAAAAAUCUACAAAGAUGUUGAAUAAUAGCAUUGGGCCUAGGACAGAACUUUUGGCAUUCCACUAGUCACUUCUCUCAAGGAUGAGGAGGAGCCAUUGUUCAGUACCUUUGGGUUUGGUCAGUCAACCAA